CUUCAAUAUUUAACAUCUUAUUAUGCAGUCUUUGUUGGAAAAGUGGCCUGGUAACAUGCUGGGUCUAAUUUACACCCUUUCCUGUUGUGGGAGAAGCAACACCGACUGUCAAUGUUUACAGAGCCGUGCCAUCUCCCCGCUGGGAGCUGGAUGCGGAGGAGGCUGGAACAGCCAGCAGAGCCUCCUGGACUUCUUCUGUUUUCCUCUGAGCCCACGGUGGCCCCCUGCCCCGGUAUUGCCUCUAAUCUGGAGGGUGUGCUCUCUGGACCUCAUCCCAGGGGGCCGAGGUUUCUCCCAGGGCUGGAAGGCUUUUCUCUGUGUGUGGCGGCUGGAAAUAUUUCAACUGAGGGCAGGAGGAGGCUCUGCCAAGACCGUCUGUCCUUCCUCACUGUCCUCCGAGGCUGCACCGAUGGACAGCGUCUUCCUGCAGCGAAAUCUGUCCCUCGGGGCCCUCAGGCUUCUGAGGAAAGACGAGGGGAGGCCACAUCUGUGGGUAUUUGCUGUGGCACCUUCCUGGGGCUGCUCUGUGAGGCUGGAUUGUAUUCCGUGGUGUUUUCCUUGGCUCAUCACCAAACACAGCUUGCUUGGAGGUGGAAGAAACGAAUUUGUUAACAAUUCUCAGGCAGAACAGGCCAGAGGGAGGUAGGGGGCAGAAUUAG
rnacentral:lncRNA from 1 species